UUGCCUAGAACUCUCCAUCUGGAACUCCAGCAUGGCUGUUUCAUCCGGACGUCCCUAGUUGACUUCUGCUAGCAGAUUGCAGGUGUCCAAUCUGAUAAGGUCUUCAUUGCACAUGAAAAUCUGGAUGGAUGGAACAGUAGGGCAUGGGCUGAACAAAAUACCUGCCUGCCUGUGGGAACCUGGAAGUCCCGCCUUUUCCACCCAGCCAUUGGCCGCUGGUAUCUUUAUUGAUCGAUCAAGAAUCAAUUGGGGAACAGAACCUUCAGCAUUCACAAGCAGACCACCCUCUACAAUGAAACGGGAGAAACUGAAGUGCAUGGAGUGAUUCUUCCUGGUGUUAAGGAUUGUUAUGAAACUAUGGAAAUCAAAGAAGGCAUGGUGCUUUGGAAGAACAGUCACAGACUACUCGGGGAGAACACAGAAACCAGAAACAAACUCCAGUAAGUAUAUCCAAUGAUUUUUGACAAAAGUGAGAAGGAAAUUUGAUGGAGGAAAUAUUUUUCAAUAUAUGGUGAGGAAAUC